rnacentral:lncRNA from 1 species
CACUAUGAACAUUUGUUUUAAAUUUCAUCAUUUAAGUAUCUAUCUUUGCUCUUGUUGGAUCUUUUAUUCUGAGUUCCUGCUUUUCUUAGUGUUCUAUUCUAUUUCCUUUAUUGAAUCCCCUUUUAAUGCCUAAUUUUCUAUUGUUCUCCCACGUUUCAGUUCUCAGCAGUCUUCUUCCUAUAUGGAUAGCUCCUUUGGAGAUUUUAUCUAUUUAAUGACGUCAGCUCAUAUCUACAUGUUCCUUAGAUCUCACUUCUCAUAUGUGAAUAACAGAUAAUGUUGGAAAUAGCUUACUACCACUUGUCUGUGGGGACAUUUCUAAGUGGAUAUCACACAGUCAACACACAAUGAAUACAUUUGAGACUCAACCCAUUUUAUCCAUUCUCAAUCCUACU